UGAUAGUCUUUAGCUCACGUAGCAGCAUGGAUGAGGGAGGGAUGCUAGUUGAGAGAACCAACAAUCCAAGAAAAAGGAAGCGUAAUGAAAAAUAAUGGGCCAAAAACCAGAACAAGGAAGAUCAUAACACCGCUCCUGGGAAGCAACCAGCCAUUGGAUGCCAGCACAUGCCUCACGACUUUUGUAAGGCGUCUUUGCUGACAGAAGGAGACAUCACAGAUACUUUCCAGUACUGCUACAGAGACUCGAACAACCGCAGCAAGAUUCAUUCAUCAUGUGCCACUUACAACUCAAUCCAGUCAUGCGCCAUCGAGGAAAUGGUCCACAACCAAGGAGAGAGCGGAACUAUGCCCCAACAUUUCAAAUAACGACACAGCAAGGGGAAAAUGUGGAGGUGUGCUCCGGAAGAUUCAGAUCCAUCCUUGUACUUAGUAGGAAACGUCUGGGCAACCUAAUGAAGUACGCCUGCCAUUCAAAAUUACAGAGGCCAAACGCAUCUACAUGAGACCAGCUCCAGCCCCAGUCACUGUCGCCAAGUAUUAUAGUGCACCUGGAGAUGAGUACACCAUAUUGAAGAGAGGAAAGAGAUGGAGUACUCUUCUGGUCAAUCAGCUCCAAUUGUUAAGCUGUGUAAAGCCAGCGAAGCAGCGUGAUGUAGCAAAUCUUCUACGAGCGAUGGGGGUGGAGCUACAAGUGGACCCGCUAGUAGGGUAUGGGCCACGCAACUUCAUUCAGGAAGUAGGUGCUUUUUACAAAGAGGUGUGCGCGCCUUCUGAUGCAAUGGACGUAGACAGUGAUGAGGACGAAGGCAUCGUUGCUGCCUAUGAAGAUUGACAUUUGAUUCCAUGCCUUUUACACAGUUAAUGGAUCAGUUUAAACUAUUCAAUUCAAGAACAGAGAAGGCUUCUAAAAUGUGCAUUCAUUGAGCAGUGCAAUUGGAAUCAAAUCCCGUUUUAUUACCCAUGUAUGCAUUUUGUUGUAAGUAGCGCUGGUAAUUAUUAAUGCAAAUUUACUAAACCAGAAUGCAUGCACACAGAUAAUUAAUAUUUGGCGCUUUGCUACUUUCACUGUAUAAUAACAACUAAUUGAUUGUGGCUAAUCUCACAACUUUACAGUAGAUUGCAGGCCUACUGAUAUUGUAUGGGUAGAGUUUUAUUGCUCCUACUUCCAUUAGGAUGUUAAGAAACAAUUAUUCAAAUAAUAUGUAUGCAUAAUCAGCACUCAAGUAUGUCUUUUAUCUGCUGUUUAUGAGGAGUGAG
rnacentral:lncRNA from 1 species